AAGAGGCAAACUUAGAGAUGGAGGAAGCAGAAAAUGGAAUCACAGUGUGGGUCGACAAACAGAGGCGCUCUAUUCGCAUCAGCUGACACACAGGCGUCUUCAGACAGGGGCUGCUCUACAAAGCACAAGAACUUCAGCUCCGCAUGAAGCUUCAAGAGCUAACAUCUCUAACAACUGCUGACCUCGGCCCUGAAAAUAAACGAGUUCUUUCAAUGCUU